AAGAAAACCUUGGUGGACUUUGGUUGCGUUGCGGAGUCUGUGCGGGAACCGCUUUGAAGUCGAAACCGACUUGGACACUGGCUGGGACUGACUAGUCCGAGGCGAGUCCGACCCUGAGUCCUGGGGUCGGCUGAGCCCGACCCUUUGGGGGAGUAGCUCCGCUUCGCCCGACCCCGAGGGAGGAAACUCCGCCUCGCCCGACCCUGAGUCCUGGGGUCGGGUGCGCCCGACCCCUGAGCAGAGGGUCGGAGUAGUCCGAGACGAAGUCGAAUCCGACGCGUAGUCGAACUCGUCGACUUUGACAUCUUAGUUUUUUUCGUUCAUAUCUUCUGGUUUCU
rnacentral:lncRNA from 1 species